rnacentral:rRNA from 1 species
AUACGGAGGAUGCGAGCGUUAUCCGGAUUUAUUGGGUUUAAGGGGAGCGUAGGUGGGAUAUUAAGUCAGCUGUGAAAGUUUGGGGCUCAACCUUAAAAUUGCGGUUGAUACUGGUUUCCUUGAGUACGGUAUAGGUGGGCGGAAUUCGUGGUGUAGCGGUGAAAUGCUUAGAUAUCACGAAGAACUCCGAUCGCGAAGGCAGCUCACCGGGCCGGAACUGACACUGAUGCUCGAAAGUGCGGGUAUCAAACAGGAUUAGAUACCCUGGUAGUCCGCACAGUAAACGAUGAAUACUCGCUGUUUGCGAUACACUGUAAGCGGCCAAGCGAAAGCGUUAAGUAUUCCACCUGGGGAGUACGCCGGCAACGGUGAAACUCAAAGGAAUUGACGGGG